CAGUCGCCGCGGUAACACGAAGGGUGCAAGCGUUACUCGGAAUUACUGGGCGUAAAGCGCGCGUAGGUGGUUCGCCAAGUUGGAUGUGAAAUCCCCGGGCUCAGCCUGGGAACUGCAUCCAAAACUGGCGAGCUAGAGUAUGGUAGAGGGUGGUGGAAUUUCCUGUGUAGCGGUGAAAUGCGUAGAUAUAGGAAGGAACAUCAGUGGCGAAGGCGACCACCUGGACUGAUACUGACACUGAGGUGCGAAAGCGUGGGGAGCAAACAGGAUUAGAUACCCCAGUAGUCCCUGUCUCUUAUAC
rnacentral:rRNA from 1 species